UACGUAGGGGGCAAGCGUUGUCCGGAUUUAUUGGGCGUAAAGAGCGUGUAGGCGGCCAUGUAGGUCCGUUGUGAAAACUCGAGGCUCAACCUCGAGACGCCGAUGGAAACCAUUUGGCUAGAGUCCGGAAGAGGGGAGUGGAAUUCCUGGUGUAGCGGUGAAAUGCGCAGAUAUCAGGAAGAACACCCGUGGCUAAGGCGGCUCUCUAGUACGGUACUGACGCUGAGACGCGAAAGCGUGGGGAGCGAACGGG
rnacentral:rRNA from 1 species